CAAUAUUUGCUGGUCCAGAGAGGAGGCGUGUGGAGGCUGCAGGGGGUCAGGAGGUCAGCGGGGCGAAACGAUGGCCUUUCAGGCCAGAUACGACAGGCCAGCAGCUGUGUGACCGGUGUAAGUAGAAGAGCGUCAAGAAUGAAAACACUGAAAGCUGCUGGAGAGCUGCAAACUGAUGACUACAGCAUUUUAAUUGCAAUAUUCAUUCGGCUAUACAUUCACUUUCACUCCUCCAUGUGUGUUUCAUGUCUACAUCAAUAAAUCAGGACAAGGUGUUCUCUGGA